UUUUUAUUUUUCUAUUUCCUUUUUUUAUUUAUCUUGGUUUAUAUAUUUAAAUUAGCAUUGUAAAUAACAACUAGUCAUAAGUGGCCUGGUGGAGAGGGGUGGUUUCUAUAGUCUCAAGAGGAGUGGGUUUAAUACUCGUAUGUAGCACAUUUUUAGUAUUUCAUUUUCUUUUAGCAUUUUUUUUUAGUAUUUUAUUUUAUUUUAGCAUUUUGUUUCUUUUAAUAUUUUUUAUGUCUAUGUUUUUUAUUAAGUUCAUCAUGCAUGCAAAACCAUUUUAAAACUAUAAAAAUCACAUUUUUUUCUCGAUUCAAUAUCGAGCCCAUUUUCACACCCUUGUAAGUCGAUUGCUUUUUAAGCAUCGCCAUCAACCUCACAUAGCUUACUCUUGGGCUUUCUUACAAUGAGCCGUUUCUCUUGCACUUACACUCAUAUUUCGCAUCAUUUGUU
rnacentral:lncRNA from 1 species